AUUCCUACGGGAGGCAGCAGUCGGGAAUUUUGCUCAAUGGGGGAAACCCUGAAGCAGCAACGCCGCGUGCGGGAUGAAGGCCUUCGGGUUGUAAACCGCUUUUACCAGGGACGAUAAUGACGGUACCUGAUGAAUAAGUCACGGCUAACUACGUGCCAGCAGCCGCGGUAAUAAU
rnacentral:rRNA from 1 species